rnacentral:rRNA from 1 species
CCUACGGGAGGCAGCAGUGGGGGAUAUUGCACAAUGGGGGAAACCCUGAUGCAGCGACGCCGCGUGUGGGAAGACGGUCCUCUGGAUUGUAAACCACUGUCCCCAGGGACGAAGAUGACGGUACCUGGGGAGGAAGCUCCGGCUAACUACGUGCCAGCAGCCGCGGUAAUACGUAGGGGGCAAGCGUUAUCCGGAUUUACUGGGUGUAAAGGGAGCGUAGACGGUGAUGCAAGUCAGAAGUGAAAGCCCGGGGCUCAACUCCGGGACUGCUUUUGAAACUGUGUGACUGGAGUGCAGGAGAGGUAAGCGGAAUUCCUGGUGUAGCGGUGAAAUGCGUAGAUAUCAGGAGGAACACCAGUGGCGAAGGCGGCUUACUGGACUGUAACUGACGUUGAGGCUCGAAAGCGUGGGGAGCAAACAGGAUUAGAUACCCCAGUAGUC